rnacentral:tRNA from 1 species
UAUGAUAUGGUGUAAAGGGAGCCCAAAGGGCUUUGAGUCCUUCAGUACAGGUUUGAGUCCUAUUGUCCUAG